rnacentral:rRNA from 1 species
CCCUUAGAUGUCCUGGGCCGCACGCGCGCUACACUGAUGCAUUCAACGAGCUUAUAACCUUGGCCGAGAGGCCUGGGCAAUCUUGUUAACGUGCAUCGUGAUAGGGAUAGAUUAUUGAAAUUAUUAAUCUUGAACGAGGAAUUCCUAGUAAACGCAGAUCAUCAAUCUGCAUUGAUUACGUCCCUGCCCUUUGUACACACCGCCCGUCGCACCUACCGAUUGGAUGGUCCGGUGAAGCCUCGGGAUUGUGGUUGUGCUGCUUUAUUGUGGUGCGACCGCGAGAACUUGUCUAAACCUUAUCAUCUAGAGGAAGGUGAAGUCGUAACA